rnacentral:miRNA from 1 species
CAAUCUCAUGAGGUAACUCCGGA